CGGCGCCUCAGGUGCGGCUGUGAAGGAAGAGGGAGGCUGGAGAGCACAGGUUCCCCUCCAGAAAAUGUUUAAGUAAUUGAUGCAACUGGACACAGUCAGCAGACAAAACUGAGAACAGCCCCACUGAAAAGCAGAGCAUGGUGCUUCUCCUCUUAGAGGGACAGCUUUUCACACCUCUAGUGUCCCUUUUUCAGAGGAGAGAAAAGAGAGAAGAGUCGAAGGGCAUGCCAUUAAGUGCUACCACAACACAACCGUGGCCACACGUCCCAAUACAUCAUCUGGAGCAACCUCCUUAAGCAAUUUCCCCAGAUCCUAGAAGAAUUACCAGGGGACCUGGUGCACCAGAAGAGAUCCUUUUGUGCUCCGAAUGCGACCCCCAAAAAAGUGAGCAGUAGGCACUGAUUUACACCUCUGGUACUGUUUGAGGAAAAUUCCUCUGUAACGGGGAGAUUUCUGGAUAGACACCUACGUGGAGCCUUUGCUGGGAGAAAGGAUUCUCUCCUCCUCACAGACUGACAGGGUUUGACCUGUGGAAGAAAUCAAGGAAUAGGUUUAUGCCUGCUACUCGCCUGGAUGAUCGCCAACCAGAGGUAUUUUUAUAUACGUAAACUG
rnacentral:lncRNA from 1 species